rnacentral:rRNA from 1 species
UACGUAGGGCGCAAGCGUUAUCCGGAAUUAUUGGGCGUAAAGAGCUCGUAGGCGGUUUGUCGCGUCUGCCGUGAAAGUCCGGGGCUCAACUCCGGAUCUGCGGUGGGUACGGGCAGACUAGAGUGAUGUAGGGGAGACUGGAAUUCCUGGUGUAGCGGUGAGAUGCGCAGAUAUCAGGAGGAACCCCGAUGGCCAAGGCAGGUCUCUGGGCAUUAACUGACGCUGAGGAGCGAAAGCAUGGGGAGCGAACAGG